GGGAUGACGGCCUUCGGGUUGUAAACCUCUUUCAGCACAGACGAAGCGCAAGUGACGGUAUGUGCAGAAGAAGGACCGGCCAACUACGUGCCAGCAGCCGCGGUAAUACGUAGGGUCCGAGCGUUGUCCGGAAUUACUGGGCGUAAAGAGCUCGUAGGUGGUUUGUCGCGUUGUUCGUGAAAACUCACAGCUUAACUGUGGGCGUGCGGGCGAUACGGGCAGACUGGAGUACUGCAGGGGAGACUGGAAUUCCUGGUGUAGCGGUGGAAUGCGCAGAUAUCAGGAGGAACACCGGUGGCGAAGGCGGGUCUCUGGGCAGUAACUGACGCUGAGGAGCGAAAGCGUGGGGAGCGAACAGGAUUAGAUACCCUGGUAGUCCACGCCGUAAACGGUGGGUACUAGGUGUGGGUUUCCUUCCUUGGGAUCCGUGCCGUAGCUAACGCAUUAAGUACCCCGCCUGGGGAGUACGGCCGCAAGGCUAAAACU
rnacentral:rRNA from 1 species